rnacentral:ncRNA from 1 species
GCGGAGGGGUUUAGAAGUUCUAUUAUUUCGAUCUACAGACAGCAAUGCCCGGACAAGGAUGUCCGGGCAAACCACAAUCGGACCCGGAUGGUCCGUUGGGGUGUUUGCGUCCGUUAUAAAUAAUCUAUCUCGAAAUAAUUAGUACUUCUUAGCCCCGUA